rnacentral:rRNA from 1 species
GAUGAACGCUGGCGGCGUGCCUAACACAUGCAAGUCGAGCGGCAGCGAGGGGUGCUUGCACCCUGUCGGCGAGCGGCGGACGGCUGAGUAACGCGUGGGAACGUGCCCCAAAGUGAGGAAUAACUGCCCGAAAGGGUAGCUAAUACCGCAUAUUAUCUUCGGAUCAAAGGAUUUAUCCGCUUUGGGAGCGGCUCGCGUCGGAUUAGGUAGUUGGUGGGGUAAUGGCUCACCAAGCCGACGAUCCGUAGCUGGUCUGAGAGGAUGACCAGCCAGACUGGAACUGAGACACGGUCCAGACUCCUACGGGAGGCAGCAGUGAGGAAUCUUCCACAAUGGGCGAAAGCCUGAUGGAGCAACGCCGCGUGCAGGACGAAGGCCUUCGGGUUGUAAACUGCUUUUAUAAGUGAGGAAUAUGACGGUAACUUAUGAAUAAGGAUCGGCUAACUACGCG